GCACUGCUGAGGAGUCCCACAAUAGGACGAAACGGCAGUCCAGUGU
rfam:Schistosoma mansoni strain Puerto Rico chromosome 1, complete genome